rnacentral:rRNA from 1 species
UACGGAGGGUGCGAGCGUUGUCCGGAAUCACUGGGCGUAAAGGGCGCGUAGGUGGCGGGUCAAGCGUGCGGUGAAAGCUCGGGGCUCAACCCCGAGUCGGCCGUGCGAACUAGCCUGCUUGAGCACUGUAGAGGCAGAUGGAAUUCCGGGUGUAGCGGUGGAAUGCGUAGAGAUCCGGAAGAACACCGGUGGCGAAGGCGGUCUGCUGGGCAGUUGCUGACACUGAGGCGCGACAGCGUGGGGAGCAAACAGG